rnacentral:rRNA from 1 species
AUAUUGGACAAUGGGGGCAACCCUGAAUCAGCCAUGCUGCUUGUGUGAAUAAGGUCUUCGGUUUGUAAAGCACUUUAAGUUGGGAGGAAAGGCUUUAGUUUAAUACCUUGUUGUUUUGACGUUACCACCAGAAUAAGAACCGGCUAAUUCUGUGCCAGCAGCCGAGGUAAUACAGAGGGUGCAAGCGUUAAUCGGAAUUACUGGGCGUAAAGGGAGCGAAGGUGGUUCAGUAAGACGUGUGUGGAAACCCCUGCCUUAACCUGUGAAUCACGUUCAUGAAUGCUGAGCUAGCGUACGGUAGGGUGUAGUGGAAAUUCCAGUGUAGCGGUGAAAUUCGUAGAUAUAGGAAGGAAAACCAGUGGCGAAGGCGACUACCCGGACUGAUACUGACACUGAAGUGCGAAAGCGUGGGGAGCAAAC